rnacentral:tRNA from 1 species
GCGCGCGUGGCGGAAUUGGUAGACGCGCUAGAUUCAGGUUCUAGUGGGGGUAACCCUGUUCAGGUUCGAGUCCUGUCGCGCGCACCA